rnacentral:rRNA from 1 species
GAGUUUGAUCAUGGCUCAGGAUGAACGCUAGCGGCAGGCCUAAUACAUGCAAGUCGAGGGGCAGCAUUCACUUCGGUGAGAUGGCGACCGGCGCACGGGUGCGUAACGCGUAUGCAACCUACCUUGUACAGGGGGAUAGCCCGGAGAAAUUCGGAUUAAUACCCCGUGGUAUUAUGAUACGGCAUCGUAUAAUGAUUAAAGAUUUAUCGGUACAAGAUGGGCAUGCGUGACAUUAGCUAGUUGGUACGGUAAUGGCGUACCAAGGCGAUGAUGUCUAGGGGUUCUGAGAGGAUGAUCCCCCACACUGGUACUGAGAUAUGGACCAGACUCCUACGGGAGGCAGCAGUAGGGAAUAUUGGUCAAUGGGCGGAAGCCUGAACCAGCCAUGCCGCGUGCAGGAAGACGGCCUUCUGGGUUGUAAACUGCUUUUACCAGGGAACAAAUAGGCCAUGCGUGGCAAGUUGAGUGUACCUGGGGAAUAAGCACCGGCUAACUCCGCGCCAGCAGCCGCGGUAAUACGGAGGGUGCAAGCGUUGUCCGGAUUUAUUGGGUUUAAAGGGUGCGUAGGCGGUUUAUUAAGUCAGUGGUGAAAGCCCCCAGCUCAACUGGGGAACUGCCAUUGAAACUGGUAGACUUGAGUACAGACGAGGUAGGCGGAAUUUAUGGUG